CCACCACCACCACCACCACCACCACCACCACCUUGAACCAGCUCCUAGACUCUUGUAUCCUGGUCCCUCUCCUGGCUCUUGCCCCAGAAUUGCCAGAGAGAUAUCUGAUGAACAUACUUCAGUCCUAUGUUUUCUGAUGGAUUUGUAAUCCUGAUAUUGGAACCUUGAGAUUUGAAGAGCGAUCCUAUGAUUGGCAUCUUCAUCUUACUUUGCAUAUCUCUAUGGUCCUUUCCAAGUUCCGCACUCAGGUCAUGAAAGAGGUGUCAUGGAUAAAUGCAACCUGGCCUUUCUGCUUGACAUGAGAGGUGCCAUUUUUGUGAAAGAUCUGCUUGGAAGCUGGAAAGAAUAACCUUUGUGCUAUGAACAGCAGUGUCUCUGUACUGUACACAUAUCACAAGGCCUUACAUGCCAUUGAUAAGGGCAAGUCUGACCUUAUGAGGAUGCUCAGAGAAUGGAAUGCUCAGUUGUUGCUUGCAGGGAUCUAAAUAUCUUUGCAGGGAAAUGACAUUUUCCUUAUAUUCAAACUGCAGUUUGCUGUUGCUGGGAGAACUUGUGGCAAAGUUUUUAAAAACUUUGAAUUAUUUCAGAAUAAAUUGGUGCUUUUAUUUUCUGUGCA